CAAAGCAAACAACGACAGACCACAAGCGAAGAAGAUGAAUCCAGAAAUAGAAUCUGAUGAUGACUUUGAAGGACCAAUAUCAACUCUGAUAAAAAUUAACAAGAAUAGAAAGAGAUUGGUGAUUGAAGAAAGUUCAGAAGAUGAUGACUUUGUUAAGCCACCCC